rnacentral:rRNA from 1 species
AUUGAACGCUGGCGGCAGGCCUAACACAUGCAAGUCGAGCGGAUGAAGGGAGCUUGCUCCUGGAUUCAGCGGCGGACGGGUGAGUAAUGCCUAGGAAUCUGCCUGGUAGUGGGGGUUAACGUCCGGAAACGGGCGCUAAUACCGCAUACGUCCUGAGGGAGAAAGUGGGGGAUCUUCGGACCUCACGCUAUCAGAUGAGCCUAGGUCGGAUUAGCUAGUUGGUGGGGUAAAGGCCUACCAAGGCGACGAUCCGUAACUGGUCUGAGAGGAUGAUCAGUCAAACGGGAACUGGGAACGGGCCCAGACCCCAACGGGGGGAAGAGGUGGGGAAAUUGGAAAAAGGGGGGAAGCCCUGACCCGGCCAGCCGGGGGGUGGGAAAAAGUUCUUCGGUUGGUAAAGCAUUUUAAGUUGGGAGAAAGGGAGGAAAGUUAAACCCUGGCUGUUUGGACGUUCCCAAAAAAAAAAACACCGCUAAACUUCUG